UGGGGAAUCGUUCCGCAAUGGACGAAAGUCUGACGGAGCAACGCCGCGUGUAUGACGAAGGCCUUCGGGUUGUAAAGUACUGUCUUUGGGGACGAACGGUAUCUAUGUAAAUAAUGCAGAUACAUGACGGUACCCAAGGAGGAAGCCCCGGCUAACUACGUGCCAGCAGCCGCGGUAAUACGUAGGGGGCGAGCGUUGGUCCGGAAUCAUUGGGCGUAAAGGGCGCGUAGGCGGGUCAUUAAGGUCUGGUGUGAAAGGCAGGGGCUCAACCCCUGGAAGGCACCGGAAACUGGUUAUCUUGAGGACAGGAGAGGAAAGCGGAAUUCCACGUGUAGCGGUGAAAUGCGUAGAUAUGUGGAGGAACACCAGUGGCGAAGGCGGCUUUCUGGACUGUAACUGACGCUGAGGCGCGAAAGCGUGGGGAGCAAACAGAUUAGAUACCCUGGUAGUCCACG
rnacentral:rRNA from 1 species